AUUGUUAUUUUGUCAUGAUAGUCAACUUUCUGGUGUCAUCUGUACUUUGUUGAUCGGUAAAUGUUAGGUUCCAUGUUGACAUGCAUUUAUCUUCAGAAGAGGAGGGAAAAACAACUACCUUGUGAAAGUUCUGGGAACUUAAAAUAUCUAAUGGUGACAUUUCCUAAUGUUGGGAACCUUUUAGGAGGCAAUUUUUUUCCCUCAAUGGAAUUGAGGGACUAGCAAAAGACUUUGGCUCAUAAUAGUAAUUUGCUACCUUAAUAAGAU